CUUUAUUUGCAUUUGCCGCAUUAAAAUGGCCGCAGAGUAUUAGGGAAAAUGAUUGAGAUCAUUUAAGAGCAAAUACUUUUUAAAUGUUGUGUCUGGUGUGAUGAAUUACAUUGAAAAAGCCCCUCAUGUUCUAUGUAAUAUGCAGUAAAUAUCAAGUUUGUUUAUUUUAGGCCCUUCCGAUAUCAACCUACCAAGUCCUAUUGAAGAGACUCGAUUUUGUCCUGGGAAAACGCAAACCGGGACGAUUUAGGAUAAAAAAGGGAAUAAACACACACUACAACUAUUAUUAUAACCUCUUAAACACUGUUUAGAGGAAUUAAAGUCAGUGUCACCAAAAAGCACAGCAAUGCAAAUAAAUAGUAAUAUAAAUAAUCAAUUUUGAAGGUCUGGCAAAUUAUGUAAAUAUUACCAUCAACAGCAGUGGAAAAAAAAUUGGGGUUUAACAGAGCGCAAGGUGAGCUUUUAUAGUCAGUGGAAAGUUUGAGAUCAUUCUAAACUAAUGGGACAAAAAAAAAA